GUAUGGAGUAUGUUUGUGUGAAUGUAGGGGUGUGUUUGUAUGUGGAGAUGGCAUUUAAAUGCAAGUAUGCAUUUAUGUGUAGUGUUGGUUUAUGAAUACACUGGUGUGUUUAUAUAUAAUUUUGUUGUUUAAAAUAAGAGGUGUGUUUAUAUGUAGUGUUGAAGUUUGAAUGCAGGUGUGUAUUUGCGUGUAGUGUUGAAUGCUGAGAUGUAUGCACAAAUACACAUGCACUGUCACAAAUACACACACACACACACUGUGAUACACAUACACACACAGAAACACUUGCAGAUACACAGAUAUACACAAUCAUACAGAUGCAGCUAUACAGACACAUUUACACACACAGACACACAUACAACCUGGCACACAUGCAGACACACAGAUGCACACACGCACACACACGCAAAUACACUGACAACAUACAGAUACACAGACAGACACAAUGACAACAUACAGACAUACAGAUACAUAACCUGAAAAAUGCAGAUACAAACACUGACACACAUGCGGAUACACACAUUGGAUACAUACAGAUACAUGCACGGGUAUAAACACUGGCACACACACA